rnacentral:rRNA from 1 species
UGGGGAAUUUUGCGCAAUGGGGGAAACCCUGACGCAGCGAUGCCGCGUGAGCGAAGAAGGUUUUCGGGUUGUAAAGCUCUGUCAUAUGGGACGAAGGAAUAGUAUCUAAUAAAUACUAUUUUUGACUGUACCAUAAGAGGAAGUACCGGCUAACUCUGUGCCAGCAGCCGCGGUAAUACAGAGGGUACAAGCGUUGUUCGGAAUUAUUGGGCGUAAAGGGUGCGUAGGUGGCUUUUCAAGUUGGAUGUGAAAUCCCUGAGCUUAACUCAGGAACGGCAUCCCAAACUGCUAAGCUAGAGUUUAGUAGAGGGGAAUGGAAUUCCUGGUGUAGGGGUAAAAUCCGUAGAUAUCAGGAGGAACACCGGUGGUGAAGACGGUUCCCUAGACUAAAUCUGACACUGAGGCACGAAAGCGUGGGGAGCAAACA